AAAAACGGGGAAAAGAAACCAACUGGGAUUACCUUAGUAACGGCGAGUGAAGCGGUAAAAGCUCAAAUUUGAAAUCUGGUACUUUCAGUGCCCGAGUUGUAAUUUGUAGAAUUUGUCUUUGAUUAGGUCCUUGUCUAUGUUCCUUGGAACAGGACGUCAUAGAGGGUGAGAAUCCCGUUUGGCGAGGAUACCUUUUCUCUGUAAGACUUUUUCGAAGAGUCGAGUUGUUUGGGAAUGCAGCUCAAAGUGGGUGGUAAAUUCCAUCUAAAGCUAAAUAUUGGCGAGAGACCGAUAGCGAACAAGUACAGUGAUGGAAAGAUGAAAAGAACUUUGAAAAGAGAGUGAAAAAGUACGUGAAAUUGUUGAAAGGGAAGGGCAUUUGAUCAGACAUGGUGUUUUUUGCAUGCACUCGCCUCUCGUGGGCUUGGGCCUCUCAAAAAUUUCACUGGGCCAACAUCAAUUCUGGCAGUAGGAUAAAUCAUUAAGAAUGUAGCUACCUCGGUAGUGUUAUAGCUUAUUGGAAUACUGCUAGCUGGGAUUGAGGACUGCGCUUCGGCAAGGAUGUUGGCAUAAUGGUUAAAUGCCGCCCGUCUAAAA
rnacentral:rRNA from 1 species